rnacentral:lncRNA from 1 species
GCUCAGAUCUGGCAUUGCUGUGGCUGUGGUGUAGGCCGGCAGCUGCAGCUCCGAUUCCAUCCUUAGCCUGGGAACUUCCAUAUGUCAGAGUGAGGCCCUGAAAGAAAACAAAAAACCCCAAACAAUUAUGUGAUAUAUUACUUAAGGAAAAUUUCAUGGUAAAUCUAUAAAGAAGAAUUAGGAUAGUAGUUUUCUCUGAGGCUUGUAGGGGAAGCUCAGCUUGAGAAGGUGCCCAAAGGGAGCUUCACUAGUAAGAGUAAUAUACCUGUUAUGAGGUUGUGUAUGAACUCAUGCAUGUUGAUUUUAUAAUGAUUUAUGAUAUAUGGAUUAUGCAUAUUCUUUAGUAGCUAUCACUAUUUCAUAAAAUAAACACAAUUUUAGAUAUUUAAAAAAAUUAAUUUAUCAAAAAACUGCAUUGAUGUAUAGUUGACUUACAAUAUUAUAUUAGUUUCAGAAGUAUAGCUUAGUGAGUCAGCAUUUUUAUAGAUUAUGCUCCAUUAAAAGUUAUAACAGGGGAGUUCCCAUUGUGGCACAGCCGAAGCGAAUCUGACUAGCAACCUCGAGGAUGCAGGUUCGAUUCCUCAGUGGGUCAGGGAUCUGGUGUUGCCAUGAGCUGUGGUGUAGGUCACAGACAUGGCUCGCAUCCCCCGUUACUGUGGCUGUGGUGACUGUGGCAGCUGCAGCUCCGAUUUUUGUCCCCUAGCCUGGGAACCUCCAUAUGCUGUGGGUGGGGCUCUAAAAGGCAAACAUAAUUAAGUAAAUAAUUAAAAUCAUUUAUUAAAAGAAAGUUAUAACAAGGUAAUGGAAAGUUCCCUGUGCUAUCCUUGCUGCUUAUCUAUUUUAUACAAGGGUGUUUGUAUCUCUUAAUUCCCUUCCCCUAAAUUGUCUGUUCCUCCUUGUCUCUUACUUUUGGUAACUACUAGUUUGUCCUCUACAUCCGUGAGUUUCUGUUUUGCAUAUACAUUCAUUUGUACUAUUUUUUUAGAUUCCACAUACAUGAACAUCAUGCAUUUGCUGGGCCAGACUUGGGUCACUUGCUUGCGUCGUCCUGCCUGUCUCCAUGGAACACCUUCCCCAAAGUCAGAUGGUUCCUCCUGCCUGAAGAAGGAAGGGAUGCGAUGCUGGGGAUACAGACACCAUCAAGCCCCACCUCACCUUCCAUUCUUCUCUCCUGACCCGGAAAGAAUCAGGACCUCCCUGUCGGGCCGCUCCCUUGGCAUAUGGAGGUUCCCAGACUAGGGGUCGAAUCAGAGCAGCAGCUACCAGUCCACACCACCGCCACAGCAACUGGGGAUCCAAGCUGCGUCUGCGACCUACAUCACAACUCAUGGCAACGCCGGAUGCUUAACCCACUGAGCAAGGGCAGGGAUUGAAUCCACAUCCUCAUGAAUCCUAGUCAGGUUUGUUACUGUUGAACCACGACAGGACCUCCUACAGCCCCAACUUUAAUACUUGAAAGCCAUCUCUGAACAUGCCCUGAACGUGCUCUAAAUGUGCUCUGAGAGCCUCAGUUUGGGGCUAAUCUGAGGUGGGAGGCCCAGGACAUAGCUCUGUUGCCUGGAACCUUCCAUGUUCGGAAUUGGCCAGGUCUUGGUCCCAUCAGAGAAGUCCUCCAGGGCUGGAUGGCCAAGGGCCUUGAUUUCUUGUUCUGAUCUGCAGGACAAAUAGUCCUCUGAGGAGUCUUUCCCUUCUGUGGCCACCAUGAGCCGACCCUGCUUUUUCUGACACCUCCCCUCCCCUGCUUCUGGAUUUCCGGCUGCUGGCGUGGACUUUUCCAACCUCGAGCUGAGGUUUAGCUCCAUGACUGGGGAGUUUAUAGCCUGAUUCAGUGCAGCUGCUAUCUCUUGUUCUGAGAUUUGGGGCAAGGUCUGAUCAGGCUAUCUGCUCCUCUUGGGUGCAAAUUUCCAAACACCCCAAACACCAUCCAUCUCCAUAGUAACAGACUCACCCCAGUGUAUGUGGGGCUUAGGGCAAGAGACAGAGGGAGCCCUGCAUACAUCAUGUCUAAAUAGUAAGAAGCAAUGCAGCAAACCCGUAAAUUUAUCUUUCUAACAAAAACGUUUUAAAAUAUGUGUAAAGCCGAGUUCCUGUUGUGGCUCAGUGGUUAAUGAAUCUGACUAGCAUCCAUGAGGACGUGGGUUCAAUCCCUGGCCUCGCUCACUGGGUUAAGGAUAUGGCCUUGCCAGGAGCUGUGGUGUAGCUCGGAUCCCACGUUGCCGUGGCUGUGGCGUAGGUCAGUGGUUACAGCUCCGAUUUGACCCCUAGCCUGAGAACCUCCAGGGUGCAGCUUGAAAAAGCAAAAAAAUAAAAUAAAAUGUGU